UACGUAGGUGGCAAGCGUUGUCCGGAAUUAUUGGGCGUAAAGCGCGCGCAGGCGGUCCUUUAAGUCUGAUGUGAAAUCCCACGGCUCAACCGUGGAAGGUCAUUGGAAACUGGGGGACUUGAGUACAGAAGAGGAAAGCGGAAUUCCAAGUGUAGCGGUGAAAUGCGUAGAGAUUUGGAGGAACACCAGUGGCGAAGGCGGCUUUCUGGUCUGUAACUGACGCUGAGGCGCGAAAGCGUGGGGAGCAACAGG
rnacentral:rRNA from 1 species